rnacentral:siRNA from 1 species
AUUGUGUACUAACCGAACUUGUC